rnacentral:rRNA from 1 species
GAUGAACGCUAGCGGCAGGCUUAAUACAUGCAAGUCGAACGGUAAGUUUGGUAGCAAUAUCAAACCAAGAGUGACGUACGGGUGCGUAACACGUAUGCAACCUACCUUGUACAGGAGUAUAGCUCGGGGAAACUCGAAUUAACCCUCCAUGAGAUCACAGUGUGGCAUCACACAGUGAUUAAAACUCAGGUGGUACAAGAUGGGCAUGCGUCUGAUAGUUAGUUGGCGGGGUAAUGGCCCACCAAGACGAUGAUCAGUAGGGGACCUGGAGAGGGUGACUCCCCCACACUGGCACGUGAGAUACGGGCCAGACUCCUACGGGAGCAGCAGUAGGGAUAUUGGUCAAUGGAUGCAAGUCU